UCUUCAUGCAUGCACAGACAUAAAAUGCACACAAACAAAGUGCACACUUAUACAGUAGACUCCUAAAAACACUUGCACACUUAAUGUUUUGAUGGGUUGAUCCGGCAUGCAGGCUGGAGUAGAAUGAUUACAUUGUUAGAUGACAUCAGCAGAUGGAGUUUGGGUGGGCUUCAUUUGGCAGUUAGUGAAUAACCGUUGCAGUACCAUUUCCCCUUUUUGUAAGCAAACCUUUUUUUUAACUGUAUGUGAGUGUUUACAAAAGUAAACCAAAGGUAACGUUCAGUAGAAUGAACAAAAAGCCGGUUUAAUCUAUUAACAUGAUUGCCAAAACUGACAGCUUUACAUAAUAAGACUUGGGCACUAUAUGUACAGUAUGCACAAGAGUCUAUUGUAAUUAAGGAUAGAUGCAUUUACAAACAAGCAUCUAUAUAUUUGUGCACAUACUCUCUGUUGUUUUCUUUUACAUAUAUGUAAGGCAAGUGAAUCUGCUGUAACUUUCCAGGUGCAUAAACUAAAAGAGAACCUGAAAGGGGGGGGGGUUCUUGCUGAGAGGUUUCCAAGAGAUGAUGAUUUAUUUUAAGUACCCACACUUGACAUAUGCAGAUACGUGCAAACUGACAUUAAAACAUGUCCAAGGUUUCAGCAGGGUCUAAAAAGUCUUAAAAUUCCUAAGUAUUAUUUUAAACAGGUCUUAAUUUUCCUACGUCAAUGUAACGCUACCUCUAAUGCUCAUUAAAUGCUCCUGCAGCGCUUUAGAAUUCUGUGGUGUUGUAGUUCUUUUUGUCGCUAGUCCAAAUAUAAUUCGCUGUACUACAAAUGAGACCAACAUGCAACUUGUAUUGCAGCCAAUCUAGACACCAGUCCUAUAAUGCCAAUGAGGAAAUCAGGGGAUUGUUUCAGACAAUGUUUCCGGACUCUGACAUCUGACUUUGUUUUUGAUGCUGUGAUAUAGGUCUUAAAUUUCAUUCAUAAUAAUGGUCUUAAAAAGUCUUAAAUUUGACUUGGUGAAACCUGUAGAAACCCUGAUGUCAUACUGUUCUCUGAGCUGUCAAAUACCUGGUGUGUAAGAGAGAUGUGAGAUAUGGAAUUGAAGACCCAAAGCUGU